AGCGAACGCUGGCGGCAGGCUUAACACAUGCAAGUCGAACGGGCACUUCGGUGCUAGUGGCAGACGGGUGAGUAACGCGUGGGAACGUGCCUUUCGGUUCGGAAUAAUCCAGGGAAACUUGGACUAAUACCGGAUACGCCCUUCGGGGGAAAGAUUUAUCGCCGAAAGAUCGGCCCGCGUCUGAUUAGCUAGUUGGUGAGGUAAAGGCUCACCAAGGCGACGAUCAGUAGCUGGUCUGAGAGGAUGAUCAGCCACAUUGGGACUGAGACACGGCCCAAACUCCUACGGGAGGCAGCAGUGGGGAAUAUUGGACAAUGGGCGCAAGCCUGAUCCAGCCAUGCCGCGUGAGUGAUGAAGGCCUUAGGGUUGUAAAGCUCUUUUGUCCGGGAAGAUAAUGACUGUACCGGAAGAAUAAGCCCCGGCUAACUUCGUGCCAGCCGCCGCCGUAAGAC
rnacentral:rRNA from 1 species